rnacentral:lncRNA from 1 species
CACAGCUCGGUGCUCAGCACUCUUCCAGACAUCGCCCUAUUUAUCUCUUCAUCAGGCUUUUCACUUCUUAUCCUUUAUAAUAAACCAGUGAUUCCAAUUAACUCAGAAAGUGUCAACUUCUGUAUCUACAUCAAUGACACCCAAAUAUGUAUCUCUAGCCUGACAUAGCUCAAGCGGCUCCAGUGCAGGAGACAGAGGGAGCCUGGAAUCCAAAGAAGAGAGCUCCAACCAGCAUAGAGUUGUCAACAGUGCAAGCUGCUGAAAAGAGGACAAGGAAGAUAUUAUCCCUCCACGCCAACCAGCAUGCACUUCUCAACCAGCCUUACUGCCUAUAAACUACCGCUGUUUUGACUGUCAGCUAAAUGAUGAAAGCCUGAGAGAGGGCAUUUUAUUAGUGGCAUAGUCAGAUGCAGCUGUGCUCUAAGACCAUCCUCUGAAAAUGCCUGGGAGAAACUAUUUCCUUCUCAUUGACAAUUACUAAAAAUGGUCAUUCGUUGGCCAGGUCCACUAAACAGUGCAUACGUUGAUCAGAGUUAUUUUGUUUGAAAUUAGUGUGCUGUACAGAAAGCUUUGUCUUGCAUGAACCUGUGUUUUGAUAAAACAGAGACCUUGGGCAUUAGCAGAUAGGAGGAUGGGUGACAGUUUACCACUAACUUUAAACAGGUUCAAAGGUAAAUACCAUAUUUUGUUAAUUUUCAUAUUCAUUAAAGAUCUAAAUAUUGAGAAGUUUGCUUGAGGAUUAAGUAUCUUCCAACCAGGGGCACCAAGGUGAGG